rnacentral:miRNA from 1 species
AUGGUGACACAUGGUAGUCUCACA